UUGGUGGAGAGCGGAAGUGGCGCAGUAUUCUAGUCAGCACUGCCAAUCCUGAAGACGGGCCUAAAAAUCCGUCAAGGGCAUAUCGAUGAAGCUCCUUGUGCUGGCUGCCAACGCCCAGUUGGGAGCUGGUGCUGGGAGAUAAGGAAAUGGGGCGAUCCACAAUGGCAUGUGGGCGUUGACCCUGUUUCCGUUGAGGCCUAAGUAUGUAAUCCGAGGUGGAUUACGGCUUAGGGGUAAACCUGUUUCGCGGUUAAAAGCUGUGAGCAGUGUAGCCUGCCUUGAGUGAAAAAGGUGGAGAUGAGGUUCGAAUUUUAUCUCGAUGGCCUAAGAGAUAAAAUUUUUGCUCAUUGAAACCUUUUUUGCAAAAGAGGCUAGGGGUUGGUAAGGCUGUUGAGGAAAGCUCCUAGACUGUACUUAUAUAGUGGCAUGUCAGAGAUUACAGUGUAGUCUUAGUGGUAAUCCAGUCCUAUCAUUGGCGACAUGAUAGAAAUGGGUUUAAAGGGAAACCGCCUUUUUGGCGACAAAGAGGUACCCAUUUGGGAAAUCCUACUGGACCUAAGCUGCAAAAUUUAUCUGGCAUGCUGCCACUUCCGUACUACAUAUA
rfam:Caldanaerobius fijiensis DSM 17918 genome assembly, contig: EJ21DRAFT_scaffold00002.2